rnacentral:rRNA from 1 species
CGUGCGGCAGCGUACACAUGCAGUCGAGCGGAACGAUCCUAGCUUGCUAGGAGGCGUCGAGCGGCGGACGGGUGAGUAAUGCAUAGGAAUCUGCCCGGUAGUGGGGGAUAACUUGAGGAAACUCAAGCUAAUACCGCAUACGCCCCAAGGGGGAAAGCAGGGGAUCUUCGGACCUUGCGCUAUCGGAUGAGCCUAUGUCGGAUUAGCUAGUUGGUGAGGUAAUGGCUCACCAAGGCCGCGAUCCGUAGCUGGUCUGAGAGGAUGAUCAGCCACAUCGGGACUGAGACACGGCCCGAACUCCUACGGGAGGCAGCAGUGGGGAAUAUUGGACAAUGGGCGAAAGCCUGAUCCAGCCAUGCCGCGUGUGUGAAGAAGGCCUUCGGGUUGUAAAGCACUUUCAGCGAGGAAGAACGCUUGUGGGUUAAUACCCCGCAAGAAGGACAUCACUCGCAGAAGAAGCACCGGCUAACUCCGUGCCAGCAGCCGCGGUAAUACGGAGGGUGCAAGCGUUAAUCGGAAUUACUGGGCGUAAAGCGCGCGUAGGCGGCUUGAUAAGCCGGUUGUGAAAGCCCCGGGCUCAACCUGGGAACGGCAUCCGGAACUGUCAG